CGUUGCUGCCGGUUUUGUUACCCUCCUCCUUUAGAGUAAGGAAGGUAGAGAGAACGGGGGACGCCUAACUGCGGCGGGAGCCACCCAGGAAUGGUUUCCUCCUCUGGGGCGCCGGGACGACGCCGGAACCGGCGAGGAUCUGGAUUGGGGGCAGAGGGGUCGCCCCUCUUGCGGUAUGUCUGAUGUUGGAGGACUAAGCACAUGGCCUGGGGAGGACUCCAGUGACCUUUCAUGUCCAGAACCAGUUUGUAACUGGGCCUGGACAGGACCGUAGCCGCCGUUCAAGGGUUUGGGUGCGUGCGCCCCGGGAAAACCCGGAGUUCCAGGGGAACCAGGGCCAGAAUGGGACUUGACCAUUGCUCUCUGCCCUCGUGGUCAUUACCCACCGCCACCUCUCAGAUACCCAAAUGACGCCCUAGAGCCCAAGGCCUACAAUGGUGCCCUACUUGGCAUUGCCGCCAGAUCUUCGGAUUUAUGAGGCCGCCCACUAAUUGGUGAGGGGGAGUUUUAGUUCUCCUUGCAGUGUCUUGCAGAGAAUUUCCUCGAGGUUCCACGCGCCUCUUGAAAGCCAGAAAAACGUGUACAGACCCUGCCUCUCCAACUCGCGCCGCGGCCCAAAGGGGCUGGGCGGAUACCUGGGAAGAGCCCCAAUGUCUGAACUCUGACGUGCACACCUCCGGCUCCCUUCGGCGGGGUGAGGAUUUGGCGCCUACGACAUAACACUGGCCGAAACACCUGGAACCGUAGACGCACCCUCUCAGCCCAGCGCCCCCGCUCGCCGGAGCGCUGCAUUUUAAGGUGGACCGCAACUUUGGGGGACCCCAGGUAAGCCCGGCGCGACCGGAUGGGGAGGUCGCCCAGGUCUGGAAUGUCCAGCACAGCCAGCUCUCCCGGCGCGUACUCCGCCUGGAGGCAAACCUGGCGGGAGGUGCACUUGAGAGCACCUCCCUCUCUGGAUCCUUAUCUCUUCGGGAGGAAAAAAAUCUCCUUUACAUAACCAUACUGUACAAUUAAGGACACUACACCCUCAAAUAUUUGCAUUUCUCAGAAGGUUUUCUGAGGCGGAAUUAGCCGAAGGGGAAGGAAUUGCAAAUGUAGGAAUUCUGGCACCUGUGAGCUCAGCCCACUUCACUGUGGGUCCUCACUCUUAUCCGAGCUCCGAGCAAAAGAACACUUUGCUGCUGGAUGCCCGGAGCCACGUGGGUGCACACUCCUCUAGAAGAGGGAAUUCAGAGCCAGAUCUGGGUAAGUUUUGAUUUUCAGCCUUCAGACCUUUUUGCUUUUAUGUUGAUCACAUGAAUCUCCUAAGACUGAGACAUAACAGUCCAAGAAACAAGUUGGAUUUUUGUGUAUUCAUAGAAAAACAAGAAGGAUGCACCCCGACUUCUAACCACCAUUACCCCAAGUGUGGGACUGGCGUGUGGGAAGGGGAGGGAGGAGAUGAAUUUUGUACCAUUACUGACUCUUGAGUUUUGUAUUUUUCAAGUUGUAUUAACUCUUUUAACUUAGAAAGCUAGUAAAACAUUUAAAAAGAAAUAUAGAGAUUAGAAAUCCUUUAAGAACGAUACAGAAAGUACAAAUUAAUAGACAAAGCCUAUGUCUUUCAUUCUGUGUCAAAAUAAUUAAUCGUGAGUCCAUGUUCCUUGGUUUAAAUAAAGAUAUCUCUAUGCUGUU